rnacentral:rRNA from 1 species
ACGUAGGUGGCAAGCGUUGUCCGGAUUUAUUGGGCGUAAAGGGAGCGCAGGCGGUUUCUUAAGUCAGUGGUGAAAUCCUUCGGCUCAACCGAAGAAGUGCCAUGGAAACUGGGAAACUUGAGUGCAGAAGAGGACAGUGGAACUCCUAGUGUAGCGGUGAAAUGCGUAGAUAUAUGGAAGAACACCAGUGGCGAAGGCAGCUGACUGGUCUGUAACUGACGCUGAGGCUCGAAAGCGUGGGUAGCAAACAG